CCCCAAACCCACUUCCCUCCCACCCAGGCAACAAGAAAGGGCAAACUGAAAAUUUAAAAGUGGCAUUCAGACAACAUGUAUAUGGAAAACGUGGUCUGAUGCCUUAUACAUGCAUGCAUCAACUAAUGGCUUGUCUGGCCAUGUGUCCAUUUAGAUCAAAUUAGAACACUUGAAGAAAAGAAAAAAAAGCCUUAGACCAACCCUGACUCUCUCUUUUCACAACUCCACAGCUACCCGGCCUCCGACUCACUCCACAUCUACUCCCACUUUGAAGCCCUAAACUCUAAAUCCACCACCUCCGAAGCCCCGACUUUCUGGUACCAAUCCCUGCCUCCGAAGCCCUAAAUCUGAGAUUCGUCUUCGAAUCUGGUUAGUUCUCGUCCUCUCAAAUCUGGUUUUGAUUAACUGAAGGUUUUUGGGUUCUUCACUUUUGAUUUGGGAUUCUUCACAAAUCAUAUUAUCCAAGGCGACCUCGAUCUCUUUAUAUGAGCAGAAGAACCCGAAGCUCAAGCUCCUUCGACCUGAUGAACUGUUUAAGAGAUCGAGUCGGUGCCUAGCACAGAUGAUGAAGAACCCCAUCGCAGCUGUCCAGCUCCAAAGCUGAUUCUCUCCUAAAAGGUUCUUGUGGGAGAGAAUUGGAUUGUAUGUUUAAGUGUGCCCAAGAAGAUGGGUUUGGCUUCAGUUUGAUGCAAGGCCCGGAAAUUCUUGAUUUGGGUGGAGUUUGAUGCAAGUCCCGGAAUUUUUUAAGGGUCUGCUAUUCAUUUACAUCAGUUGCUUAGAGGUAUUCGGAAGCUUUGGAAGGAGUAGGACAGGGUCUGCUAUUGAUUGUGUUUUGGUAGAGAAUUUGAUUCUAUCCCUUUCCCCGAAAGGGCCAUGUCAUUGGCAUUUGAUAUCCUCAAUGACCUUGUGAAGGUGCAUUAACUGGAGCUAUAACCACUCCCCUUGAUGUGAUUAAUUAAAACCAGACUAAUGGUACAGGGAUCUGCCAACCAGUACAAAGGAAUUGGUGACUGUGUUCAGACUAUUGUGAGGGAAGAAGGACCUCCCGCUCUUCUGAAGGUGUCGGAUGCAACUGCAGCUGAUCCUAAAUUGCUGGUCUUUUUGAAAUCGUACAGGAAUUUCUUACACACUGAAUCUAGUAAUUAGAUCUACCUAGCUUUUCUAAUUCUACUUUGGUUUAGAAUAAUCAAUGGUUCAUGAAUUAUGAGAUUCUGAGUGCAUAACAUGUUCACGAAAUCAUCAAAAUGUAGUGUAUAGAAUUAAAAAUGCAGAAUAAUAUGGGAAUAUAGGAAUGCUAAAUUAACACUUUCUCUAAGCCGUGGUCGUCCUCUACUACUAACUUUCUUCCAGUUUUAUUUAACAAAAGAACAUAAACCUGCUCACCUGCAUUUCUAGGUAUUCUGUGAACAAAUUGAAAAGCUAGGAAUUUCUUACUAGUAAUAGGUGUUUGGCAAAAGUCACCCUUGAUUGAUUUAUCUUCAUAUGUAUCUGCUAGUGUUGAUUGGGGGAUAUAGGCAUAACUAAGGCCAUAUUUGGGGAUAUACUUAGCAUAUUGUACACAUUUUAUUCAUUUUAAAGGUACCAAUGUAUCUGCUUUGAACUUUCAGAGACCAUCCCAUAAUGCUUAGUGCUCUGGACUUCAUCUAUAAUUUUUAUAUAGUAGACUGCUGAUUUGAGUAAAGAACUGUACCAUUACUGGUAUCUCAUUGAGACUUGAUUGAUUUUGCAGGGUAAACAUGGUAUCGAGAAACAACCGUUUCAGCUUCCUGAUUUCAUUGCUGCAACUGGUACUAAGAAAAUUAGACAGAAAUGUUCCUUCAUAGGAUAGUUCCUAAGGUUAGUAUGUUUACUGUAAUAUCUCAUACAGCCUUAGCAGCAUAUGAUGUUUCCAUCUUUUAUUUUUAGGGGGAAUCUGCAUUAUGGAGACUUGCCUGGCACACAUCAAAUCAUCAAUGAGGAUCACUAUGGGGCACUCAUCCACCACCUCUUUUUAGUUCGCAACAAACGCUGAAGUUGAUGAACUGCGUAAUGAACUCGCAAAUUAUGAGGUGAAGAACCUACUAAAGUUGGGAAGUGUGCUGGGAUGAAUCAUUGUUGGUCUUUUUUGGGUAUAUGCAAGGUCUGAAGUGCAUUAGGCAAGAUGUUGGUCCUUUUUGGGUUGGCCUGAAUUGCAUUUCUUCUAUAGAUGUGAUCAUGUACGGAUGAGACUAUUUUAGCCACAUUUGUAGAUGUGAUCUUUUCUAUUUUUUUUGAUACAAUUAGCAUUAUCGGAUCCAUUUAUGGGAUUAUAACAGCUAUUUAUUAUAAGAAAUUUUUUAUUCAUUUGGUCAA